GUGGGUAUAGCUCAGUUGGUAGAGCGCUGGAUUGUGGUUCCAGUUGUCGCGGGUUCGAUCCCCGUUACUCACC
rnacentral:tRNA from 2 species